rnacentral:rRNA from 1 species
UGGGGAAUCUUGCGCAAUGGGCGAAAGCCUGACGCAGCGACGCCGCGUGAGUGAUGAAGGCCUUCGGGUUGUAAAGCUCUGUGGGGAGAGAAGAAUAAGUGCGGGCUAAUACCCCGCAUGAUGACGGUAUCUCCUUAGCAAGCACCGGCUAACUCUGUGCCAGCAGCCGCGGUAAGACAGAGGGUGCAAACGUUGUUCGGAAUUACUGGGCGUAAAGCGAGUGUAGGCGGUUUGGUAAGUCGGAUGUGAAAGCCCCGGGCUCAACCCGGGAAGUGCAUUCGAUACUGCCAAGCUAGAGUAUCGGAGAGGUUGGUGGAAUUCUCGGUGUAGAGGUGAAAUUCGUAGAUAUCGAGAGGAACACCGGUGGCGAAGGCGGCCAACUGGACGAAUACUGACGCUGAGACUCGAAAGCGUGGGGAGCAAACAGGAUUAGAUACCCCUGUAGUCCCUGAGCGGGCUGGCAAGGCGCAU